rnacentral:rRNA from 1 species
GAUGAACGCUGGCGGCAUGCCUAAGACAUGCAAGUCGAACGAGACGACCCUUUGAAGAAUGAGUGCUUGCACAAAUUCAGAUUAGGAUAUCGUCUAGUGGCAGACGGGUGAGUAACACGUGGGUAAUCUACCUUAAAGACUGGGAUAACUAUUGGAAACGAUAGCUAAUACCGGAUGAUUCAUAUUUAGAUAACUAGAUAUGCUAAAAGGAGCUUCGGCUUCACUUUGAGAUGAGCUUGCGGUGUAUUAGCUUGUUGGUGGGGUAAUGGCCUACCAAGGCUACGAUGCAUAUCCGAGCUGAGAGGCUGAUCGGACACACUGGGACUGAGACACGGCCCAG